rnacentral:rRNA from 1 species
UUUUAUUUGAGAGUUUGAUCCUGGCUCAGGAUGAACGCUGGCGGCGUGCCUAACACAUGCAAGUUGAGCGAUUUACUUCGGUAAAGAGCGGCGGACGGGUGAGUAACGCGUGGGUAACCUACCCUGUACACACGGAUAACAUACCGAAAGGUAUGCUAAUACGGGAUAAUAUAUUUGAGAGGCAUCUCUUGAAUAUCAAAGGUGAGCCAGUACAGGAUGGACCCGCGUCUGAUUAGCUAGUUGGUAAGGUAACGGCUUACCAAGGCGACGAUCAGUAGCCGACCUGAGAGGGUGAUCGGCCACAUUGGAACUGAGACACGGUCCAAACUCCUACGGGAGGCAGCAGUGGGGAAUAUUGCACAAUGGGCGAAAGCCUGAUGCAGCAACGCCGCGUGAGUGAUGAAGGCCUUCGGGUCGUAAAACUCUGUCCUCAAGGAAGAUAAUGACGGUACUUGAGGAGGAAGCCCCGGCUAACUA